rnacentral:rRNA from 1 species
GACGAACGUUGGCGGCGUGCUUAACACAUGCAAGUCGAACGGUAAGGCUCCAGCUUGCUGGGGUACACGAGUGGCGAACGGGUGAGUAACACGUGGGUGACCUGCCCUGCACUUCGGGAUAAGCCUGGGAAACUGGGUCUAAUACCGGAUAGGACCGCACCGUGAGGGUGUGGUGGAAAGUUUUUUCGGUGUGGGAUGGGCCCGCGGCCUAUCAGCUUGUUGGUGGGGUAAUGGCCUACCAAGGCGGCGACGGGUAGCCGGCCUGAGAGGGUGGACGGCCACAUUGGGACUGAGACACGGCCCAGACUCCUACGGGAGGCAGCAGUGGGGAAUAUUGCACAAUGGGCGGAAGCCUGAUGCAGCGACGCCGCGUGGGGGAUGACGGCCUUCGGGUUGCAAACUCCUUUCACCAUCGACGAAGGGUUUCUGACGGUAGAUGGAGAAGAAGCACCGGCUAACUACGUGCCAGCAGCCGCGGUAAUACGUAGGGUGCGAGCGUUGUCCGGAAUUACUGGGCGUAAAGAGCUCGUAGGUGGUUUGUCGCGUCGUCUGUGAAAUUCCGGGGCUUAACUCCGGGCGUGCAGGCGAUACGGGCAUAACUUGAGUACUGUAGGGGAGACUGGAAUUCCUGGUGUAGCGGUGAAAUGCGCAGAUAUCAGGAGGAACACCGGUGGCGAAGGCGGGUCUCUGGGCAGUAACUGACGCUGAGGAGCGAAAGCAUGGGGAGCGAACAGGAUUAGAUACCCUGGUAGUCCAUGCCGUAAACGGUGGGCGCUAGGUGUGGGUUUCCUUCCACGGGAUCCGUGCCGUAGCUAACGCAUUAAGCGCCCCGCCUGGGGAGUACGGCCGCAAGGCUAAAACUCAAAGGAAUUGACGGGGGCCCGCACAAGCGGCGGAGCAUGUGGAUUAAUUCGAUGCAACGCGAAGAACCUUACCUGGGCUUGACAUAUACAGGAUCGCGCCAGAGAUGGUGUUUCCCUUGUGGCUUGUAUACAGGUGGUGCAUGGUUGUCGUCAGCUCGUGUCGUGAGAUGUUGGGUUAAGUCCCGCAACGAGCGCAACCCUUGUCUUAUGUUGCCAGCACGUUGUGGUGGGGACUCGUAAGAAACUGCCGGGGUUAACUCGGAGGAAGGUGGGGAUGACGUCAAAUCAUCAUGCCCCUUAUGUCCAGGGCUUCACACAUGCUACAAUGGUCGGUACAGUGGGUUGCCAGUCCGUGAGGGCGAGCUAAUCCCGCAAAGCCGGUCUCAGUUCGGAUCGGGGUCUGCAACUCGACCCCGUGAAGUCGGAGUCGCUAGUAAUCGCAGAUCAGCAACGCUGCGGUGAAUACGUUCCCGGGCCU